CACGUAGGGACCAAGCGUUGUCCGGAUUUAUUGGGCGUAAAGAGCUCGUAGGCGGUCGUGUAAGUCGGGUGUGAAAUCUCCAGGCUCAACUUGGAGGGGCCACCCGAUACUGCUCGACUCGAGUCCGGUAGGGGAGUGGGGAAUUCCUGGUGUAGCGGUGAAAUGCGCAGAUAUCAGGAGGAACACCGGUGGCGAAGGCGCCACUCUGGGCCGGUACUGACGCUGAGGAGCGAAAGCGUGGGUAGCAAACAGGAUUAGAUACCCUGGUAGUCCACGCUGUAAACGUUGGGCACUAGGUGUGGGCUCUAACCAACGGAGUCCGUGCCGUAGCUAACGCAUUAAGUGCCCCGCCUGGGGAGUACGGCCGCAAGGUUAAA
rnacentral:rRNA from 1 species